rnacentral:rRNA from 1 species
UUAAGCGACUAAGCGUACACGGUGGAUGCCCUGGCAGUCAGAGGCGAUGAAGGACGUGCUAAUCUGCGAAAAGCGUCGGUAAGGUGAUAUGAACCGUUAUAACCGGCGAUGUCCGAAUGGGGAAACCCAGUGCAAUUCGUUGCACUAUCGUUAACUGAAUACAUAGGUUAACGAGGCGAACCGGGGGAACUGAAACAUCUAAGUACCCCGAGGAAAAGAAAUCAACCGAGAUUCCCCCAGUAGCGGCGAGCGAACGGGGAGCAGCCCAGAGUCUGAAUCAGCUUGUGUGUUAGUGGAACGGUCUGGAAAGUCCGACGGUACAGGGUGAUAGUCCCGUACACCAAAAUGCACAGGCUGUGAACUCGAAGAGUAGGGCGGGACACGUGGUAUCCUGUCUGAAUAUGGGGGGACCAUCCUCCAAGGCUAAAUACUCCUGACUGACCGAUAGUGAACCAGUACCGUGAGGGAAAGGCGAAAAGAACCCCGGCGAGGGGAGUGAAAAAGAACCUGAAACCGUGUACGUACAAGCAGUGGGAGCACCUUCGGGUGUGACUGCGUACCUUUUGUAUAAUGGGUCAGCGACUUAUAUUCUGUAGCAAGGUUAACCGUAUAGGGGAGCCGCAGGGAAACCGAGUCUUAACUGGGCGUUAAGUUGCAGGGUAUAGACCCGAAACCCGGUGAUCUAGCCAUGGGCAGGUUGAAGGUUGGGUAACACUAACUGGAGGACCGAACCGACUAAUGUUGAAAAAUUAGCGGAUGACUUGUGGCUGGGGGUGAAAGGCCAAUCAAACCGGGAGAUAGCUGGUUCUCCCCGAAAGCUAUUUAGGUAGCGCCUCGUGAACUCAUCUUCGGGGGUAGAGCACUGUUUCGGCUAGGGGGUCAUCCCGACUUACCAACCCGAUGCAAACUACGAAUACCGAAGAAUGUUAUCACGGGAGACACACGGCGGGUGCUAACGUCCGUCGUGAAGAGGGAAACAACCCAGACCGCCAGCUAAGGUCCCAAAGUCAUGGUUAAGUGGGAAACGAUGUGGGAAGGCACAGACAGCCAGGAUGUUGGCUUAGAAGCAGCCAUCAUUUAAAGAAAGCGUAAUAGCUCACUGGUCGAGUCGGCCUGCGCGGAAGAUGUAACGGGGCUAAACCAUGCACCGAAGCUGCGGCAGCGACACUAUGUGUUGUUGGGUAGGGGAGCGUUCUGUAAGCCUGCGAAGGUGUGCUGUGAGGCAUGCUGGAGGUAUCAGAAGUGCGAAUGCUGACAUAAGUAACGAUAAAGCGGGUGAAAAGCCCGCUCGCCGGAAGACCAAGGGUUCCUGUCCAACGUUAAUCGGGGCAGGGUGAGUCGACCCCUAAGGCGAGGCCGAAAGGCGUAGUCGAUGGGAAACAGGUUAAUAUUCCUGUACUUGGUGUUACUGCGAAGGGGGGACGGAGAAGGCUAUGUUAGCCGGGCGACGGUUGUCCCGGUUUAAGCAUGUAGGCUGGUUAUCCAGGCAAAUCCGGAUAAUCAAGGCUGAGGUGUGAUGACGAGGCACUACGGUGCUGAAGUAACAAAUGCCCUGCUUCCAGGAAAAGCCUCUAAGCAUCAGGUAACAUUAAAUCGUACCCCAAACCGACACAGGUGGUCAGGUAGAGAAUACCAAGGCGCUUGAGAGAACUCGGGUGAAGGAACUAGGCAAAAUGGUGCCGUAACUUCGGGAGAAGGCACGCUGGUGUGUAGGUGAAGUCCCUGCGGAUGGAGCUGAGACCAGUCGAAGAUACCAGCUGGCUGCAACUGUUUAUUAAAAACACAGCACUGUGCAAACACGAAAGUGGACGUAUACGGUGUGACGCCUGCCCGGUGCCGGAAGGUUAAUUGAUGGGGUUAUCCGUAAGGAGAAGCUCUUGAUCGAAGCCCCGGUAAACGGCGGCCGUAACUAUAACGGUCCUAAGGUAGCGAAAUUCCUUGUCGGGUAAGUUCCGACCUGCACGAAUGGCGUAAUGAUGGCCAGGCUGUCUCCACCCGAGACUCAGUGAAAUUGAACUCGCUGUGAAGAUGCAGUGUACCCGCGGCAAGACGGAAAGACCCCGUGAACCUUUACUAUAGCUUGACACUGAACAUUGAGCCUUGAUGUGUAGGAUAGGUGGGAGGCUUUGAAGCGUGGACGCCAGUCUGCGUGGAGCCAACCUUGAAAUACCACCCUUUAAUGUUUGAUGUUCUAACGUUGGCCCCUUACCGGGGUUGCGGACAGUGUCUGGUGGGUAGUUUGACUGGGGCGGUCUCCUCCCAAAGCGUAACGGAGGAGCACGAAGGUUAGCUAAUCCUGGUCGGACAUCAGGAGGUUAGUGCAAUGGCAUAAGCUAGCUUGACUGCGAGCGUGACGGCGCGAGCAGGUGCGAAAGCAGGUCAUAGUGAUCCGGUGGUUCUGAAUGGAAGGGCCAUCGCUCAACGGAUAAAAGGUACUCCGGGGAUAACAGGCUGAUACCGCCCAAGAGUUCAUAUCGACGGCGGUGUUUGGCACCUCGAUGUCGGCUCAUCACAUCCUGGGGCUGAAGUAGGUCCCAAGGGUAUGGCUGUUCGCCAUUUAAAGUGGUACGCGAGCUGGGUUUAGAACGUCGUGAGACAGUUCGGUCCCUAUCUGCCGUGGGCGCUGGAGAAUUGAGGGGGGCUGCUCCUAGUACGAGAGGACCGGAGUGGACGCAUCACUGGUGUUCGGGUUGUCAUGCCAAUGGCACUGCCCGGUAGCUAAAUGCGGAAGAGAUAAGUGCUGAAAGCAUCUAAGCACGAAACUUGCCCCGAGAUGAGUUCUCCCUGAGACUUUAAGUCUCCUGAAGGAACGUU